UACAGAGGGGGCAAGCGUUAUUCGGAAUUAUUGGGCGUAAAGGGCGCGUAGGCGGCCUGGCAAGUGGAAGGUGAAAUCCCUCGGCUUAACCGAGGAACUGCCCUCCAAACUGCUUGGCUUGAGUCCGGGAGAGGUGAGUGGAAUUCCCAGUGUAGCGGUGAAAUGCGUAGAUAUUGGGAGGAACACCAGUGGCGAAGGCGGCUCACUGGACUGGAACUGACGCUGAGGCGCGAAAGCGUGGGGAGCAAACGGG
rnacentral:rRNA from 1 species